GAUGAACGCUGGCGGCGUGCCUAAUACAUGCAAGUCGAGCGAACGGACGAGAAGCUUGCUUCUCUGAUGUUAGCGGCGGACGUGUGAGUAACACGUGUAUAACCUACCUAUAAGACUGGUAUAACUUCGGGAAACCGGAUCUUAUACCGGAUAAUAUUUUGAACCGCAUGGUUCAAAAGUGAAAGACGGUCUUGCUGUCACUUAUAGAUGGAUCCGCGCUGCAUUAGCUAGUUGGUAAGGUAACGGCUUACCAAGGCAACGAUGCAUAGCCGACCUGAGAGGGUGAUCGGCCACACUGGAACUGAGACACGGUCCAGACUACUACGGGAGGCAGCAGUAGGGAAUCUUCCGCAAUGGGCGAAAGCCUGACGGAGCAACGCCGCGUGAGUGAUGAAGGUCUUCGGAUCGUAAAACUCUGUUAUUAGGGAAGAACAUAUGUGUAAGUAACUGUGCACAUCUUGACGGUACCUAAUCAGAAAGCCACGGCUAACUACGUG
rnacentral:rRNA from 1 species